rnacentral:rRNA from 1 species
CCUACGGGCGGCAGCAGUGGGGAAUAUUGCACAAUGGGGGAAACCCUGAUGCAGCGACGCCGCGUGAGUGAAGAAGUAUUUCGGUAUGUAAAGCUCUGUCAGCAGGGAAGAAAAUGACUGUACCGUACCAACAAGCCCCGGAGAACUUCGUGCCAGCAGCCGCGGUAAUACGUAGGGGGGAAGCGUUAUCCGGAUUUACUGGAUGUAGAGGAAGCGUAGACGGCAGGGCAAGUCUGGGGUGAAGGGCGGGGGCUCAACCCGCGGACUGCUCUGGAAACGGGCAGGCUGGAGUGCAGGAGAGGGAAGUGGAACUCCUAGUGUAGCGGUGAAAUGCGUAGAUAUUAGGAGGAACACCAGUGGCGAAGGCGGCUUACUGGACUGUAACUGACGUUGAGGCGCGAAAGCGUGGGGAGCAAACAGGAUUAGAUACCCGUGUAGUC